rnacentral:lncRNA from 1 species
UUAAGGUGUCAAUUUGAGACCUACUGUUACUCUUUUGAGUUUAAGAGGAGUCUUACGGAAGCUUUUGGAGAUCGAAAGGUGCGGCUGGAAGAGAAACUUCAAGACAUACAUCUUUUGUGAAGGAGAUUUUGCAUUUGGAGUUUAUGUGAAGGAGUUAUAGGGAGUUAAAGACAGCGCAUUCAAAUCAAAGGCAGUAAGUGAGCGGUUUUGUUCAAAGUAGUGUUAGGAGCCAUAACUUGAGUUUUCGAACGAAAUUUUGGCUCAAAAUUUGGGAGAAUGUAAAUAUUUGUGUUAAGAAGCUAUUUAUAUAAGUUUCGUGGCAUUUAAACUUAUGGUUUGUGAGA